GACGAACGCUGGCGGCGUGCUUAACACAUGCAAGUCGAACGGAAAGGCCCUGCUUUUGUGGGGUGCUCGAGUGGCGAACGGGUGAGUAACACGUGAGUAACCUGCCCUUGACUUUGGGAUAACUUCAGGAAACUGGGGCUAAUACCGGAUAGGAGCUCCUGCUGCAUGGUGGGGGUUGGAAAGUUUCGGCGGUUGGGGAUGGACUCGCGGCUUAUCAGCUUGUUGGUGGGGUAGUGGCUUACCAAGGCUUUGACGGGUAGCCGGCCUGAGAGGGUGAACGGCCAGAUGGGGCCGGAGGAAGGGCCAGGACACCUACGGGAGGCAGGGGGGGGGAAUGUAGAACAAAGGGCGGGAGAAUGCAGGAGCAACGCAGGGUGCGGGAGGGCGGCCUUCGGGUGGGAAGCCGCUUUCGCCUGUGAGGAAGGUUAAGGGGGGGAAAUGGGUAAAAAAGCACCGGUAACCUCGGU
rnacentral:rRNA from 1 species